rnacentral:rRNA from 1 species
AUUGGACGCUGGCGGCAGGCCUAACACAUGCAAGUCGAGCGGAUGAAGGGAGCUUGCUCCUGGAUUCAGCGGCGGACGGGUGAGUAAUGCCUAGGAAUCUGCCUGGUAGUGGGGGACAACGUUUCGAAAGGAACGCUAAUACCGCAUACGUCCUACGGGAGAAAGCAGGGGACCUUCGGGCCUUGCGCUAUCAGAUGAGCCUAGGUCAGAUUAGCUAGUUGGUGAGGUAAUGGCUCACCAGGGCGACGAUCCGUAACUGGUCUGAGAGGAUGAUCAGUCACACUGGAACUGAGACACGGUCCAGACUCCUACGGGAGGCAGCAGUGGGGAAUAUUGGACAAUGGGCGAAAGCCUGAUCCAGCCAUGCCGCGUGUGUGAAGAAGGUCUUCGGAUUGUAAAGCACUUUAAGUUGGGAGGAAGGGUUGUAGAUUAAUACUCUGCAAUUUUGACGUUACCGACAGAAUAAGCACCGGCUAACUCUGUGCCAGCCGCCGCCGUAAAAC